rnacentral:rRNA from 1 species
GACGAACGCUUGCGGCGUGCCUAAGAAAUGCAAGUCGAGCGGGGUGUAGCAAUACACCUAGCGGCGAACGGUCGCGUAACACGUAAGCAACCUGCCGGAAAGACCGGGACAACCGCCCGAAAGGGCAGCUAAUACCGGAUGUGGCCCUCCUGUUGCAUGGCAGGAGGAUUAAACCCUCGCAAGGGGGCUUUUCGAGGGGCUUGCGGCCUAUCAGCUAGUUGGUGGGGUAACGGCCUACCAAGGCGACGACGGGUAGCUGGUCUGAGAGGA